UUCUUAUCAAGAGAGAUGGAGGGAAUGGCCCGAAGAAGUCUCAGCAACCAGCCGAAAUGGGUCAGGUGCUAAAUCCAUCAAGCGUGAUGCUUGAAAGAUAAGGA
rfam:Bacillus alcalophilus ATCC 27647 = CGMCC 1.3604 strain AV1934 contig00001, whole genome shotgun sequence.